rnacentral:rRNA from 1 species
ACGGGUGAGUAACACGUGGGUGAUCUGCCCUGCACUUCGGGAUAAGCCUGGGAAACUGGGUCUAAUACCGGAUAUGACCUCCUAUCGCAUGGUGGGUGGUGGAAAGAUCUAUCGGUGCAGGAUGGGCCCGCGGCCUAUCAGCUUGUUGGUGGGGUAAUGGCCUACCAAGGCGACGACGGGUAGCCGACCUGAGAGGGUGACCGGCCACACUGGGACUGAGACACGGCCCAGACUCCUACGGGAGGCAGCAGUGGGGAAUAUUGCACAAUGGGCGAAAGCCUGAUGCAGCGACGCCGCGUGAGGGAUGACGGCCUUCGGGUUGUAAACCUCUUUCAGCAGGGACGAAGCGCAAGUGACGGUACCUGCAGAAGAAGCACCGGCUAACUGCGUGCCAGCAGCCGCGGUAAUACGUAGGGUGCAAGCGUUGUCCGGAAUUACUGGGCGUAAAGAGUUCGUAGGCGGUUUGUCGCGUCGUUUGUGAAAACCAGCAGCUCAACUGCUGGCUUGCAGGCGAUACGGGCAGACUUGAGUACUGCAGGGGAGACUGGAAUUCCUGGUGUAGCGGUGAAAUGCGCAGA